UACGAAGGGGGCUAGCGUUGUUCGGAUUUACUGGGCGUAAAGCGCACGUAGGCGGAUCGUUAAGUCGGGGGUGAAAUCCUGGAGCUCAACUCCAGAACUGCCUUCGAUACUGGCGAUCUCGAGUCCGGAAGAGGUGAGUGGAACUCCUAGUGUAGAGGUGGAAUUCGUAGAUAUUAGGAAGAACACCAGUGGCGAAGGCGGCUCACUGGUCCGGUACUGACGCUGAGGUGCGAAAGCGUGGGGAGAAACAGG
rnacentral:rRNA from 1 species